AGAAAAUAAUCAAAUCAAAUUGAAGUCCUACUCACUUAUUCUGACGGAAUGGUUGUUUAAACACUUGGCAUGUUUAGAUCCUUUUACCGGUUUUUUUAAAACACCAUUAUUAUGUCAUGCAGCCAGCUUUAGCAAUCUUUUUAUACUUUCUGAAGUGGAUCAUCAUGAGAUGUGAUGAAAAGUUAAGUAUAAAAUAAAUAUAAAAAAAAAAUUUAAAGAAAAAGCAAGGUAUCAAGUUAGUGUAAGAGCUGAAACAGUCAAUAUUCAAAGAACAAAAAAAAAAAAGGGGGGGAGGGUUAUUAUGCAUUAUAAUCUUGAUAAAAGUUUUAAAAAUUCUAAAAAUAGUUUUUAUCUAUGAUUACAAUAAGAAAAAAUAACUUUAUCGGAAAUAAAAAUGUGACUUAAAAGAAUGUGAACAUCCAUUUUCAUUGAAAAAACAUUUCACAAUGCAAAACUCAAAGGACUAGCUCCGAAAAACCAAUCUCUUUUGUUACUGAAACCUAUCUUUUGCUUAAUCUAUCUUUAAAGUUUUUCAUAAUAUCGAGCCAGUAAUUGCAUUUAAACAAUCGCCAAAUCAACUAAGAACACCUAGUUUUUCAAAAAAAUAUUUAACCAAUAAAGCAGUCGGGUUUUUUAAAUGUAAAGAUAAUCGUUGCAAAAUAAGUUUUUUCUUCAAGAAGUCAAAACACUUAUAACAUCAAAUGGAACUAUAUGAAACAUAAAAAUAUCUCAAAACAAGAAAGCUACAUACACCAGAAAAAACAAAUAAUUUAAGACAUUGCAUAAAGGACAUAUUUUAAGUUGUAAAAAUUGACAACCAACAGAUAGAUUUUAUACAAUUGCCGACGUACAAAUAAUUCUAUUAAAGAACCUUUUUUCCAGCUUUUUGUGUUUCUGGAGCUCAAAAUUGAACAAAAAUUAAUAUCUUAUGAAAAACAUCGUCACAAGCAUAAAAUACAUGAAACUAAAAUGAUGAGAAUACAAAAAUAGCACUAAUGGCAAGAAUACAACAAUAGCACUAAUGAUAAGAAUACAACAAUAGCACUAAUGAUAAGAAUACAACAAUAGCACUAAUGAUGAUAUUUUUGUUAUUUUCCAGAAGUAAAAAAGGCAAUUCAAUAAAUAGAUAAAUAGAUACAAUCAUGUAUAUGACUGCAAGAAAAUACGAACUAAAAAAUGAAAAUAUAUUGUUGACCUAUGUAAAUUAUUUUCAUAAACAAAAAAAUAACACCUUUGACUAA